rnacentral:rRNA from 1 species
GACGAACGCUGGCGGCGUGCUUAACACAUGCAAGUCGAACGGAAAGGCCCUGCUUGUGUGGGGUGCUCGAGUGGCGAACGGGUGAGUAACACGUGAGUAACCUGCCCUUGACUUUGGGAUAACUUCAGGAAACUGGGGCUAAUACCGGAUAGGAUCUCCUGCUGCAUGGUGGGGGUGGGAAAUUUUCGGCGGUUGGGGAUGGACUCGCGGCUUAUCGGCUUGUUGGUGGGGUAGUGGCUUACCCAGGCUUUGACGGGUAGCCGGCCUGAGAGGGUGACCGGGCACAUUGGGCCUGAGAUACGGCCCAGAGUCCUACGGGAGGCAGCAGUGGGGAAUCUGGCCCAAUGGGCGGAAGCCUGAUGCAGAAACGCCGCGUGCGGGAUGACGGCCUUCGGGGUGUAAAACGCUUUCGCCUGUGACGAAGCGUGAGUGACGGUAAUGGGUAAAGAAGCACCGGCUAACUACGUG